rnacentral:rRNA from 1 species
AUUGAACGCUGGCGGCAUGCCUUACACAUGCAAGUCGAACGGUAACAGGUCUUCGGAUGCUGACGAGUGGCGAACGGGUGAGUAAUACAUCGGAACGUGCCUAGUAGCCGGGGAUAACUACUCGAAAGAGCGGCUAAUACCGCAUGAGAUCUAAGGAUGAAAGCAGGGGACCGCAAGACCUUGUGCUACUAGAGCGGCCGAUGGCAGAUUAGGUAGUUGGUGGGAUAAAAGCUUACCAAGCCGACGAUCUGUAGCUGGUCUGAGAGGACGAUCAGCCACACUGGGACUGAGACACGGCCCAGACUCCUACGGGAGGCAGCAGUGGGGAAUUUUGGACAAUGGGCGAAAGCCUGAUCCAGCAAUGCCGCGUGCAGGAUGAAGGCCUUCGGGUUGUAAACUGCUUUUGUACGGAACGAAAAGCCCCGGGUUAAUACCCUGGGGUCAUGACGGUACCGUAAGAAUAAGCACCGGCUAACUACGUGCCAGCCGCCGCGGUAA